rnacentral:lncRNA from 1 species
CCAGGCCAGACAAGCGUGCGCGAGGACGGUGGGCCCCUGCUCCCAUAGUGACGCGCGCUCGCGCACGCACGCACACACAAACGCACGCACGAGGUAUCUGGCCGCGUGCCAGAUGCGGCGGAGGCCUCUCAGAAGAGGCGGAGUGGACUCGAGCGUCCCCGCGCGAGGAGUCACCUUUAGCAGGCACGCGGUGAGAGCCACGGGGUCAGCGGCACGUCGGGCUCCUCGCCGCUGCUAAUUAGCUGAGAUAAACUGUGAAACAGCAGGAAAAGAGUCGCGGUUUGCGCUGGUGGAGGUUGUCUGUGUGUCCACGCUGCGGUGCAGACACCGUCAGCUGUCCGUGCGUGAGGAGCACUUCCUGUGGACAUUACGGGGUCGCUCUGACCACGGUCUCGGCUGCAGAGUCCACUUCGCAUUUUGAGCGACGCCCCCAAAUUCCGUGCAGAGUGUUUGCAGACCCUCCGGGACGGAGAGGUGGAGGAGGAAUCGGCAGCUCCGCGGUCCAUGUACACUACAAUCAGCACGCCAUUAGUUCAUGACUUCAUCAUAUCUUUGACAGGAGAGUUUGGGCCGCAUUUAGAAGCUCUCUAGGACUCUGAGGGUGCUGCAGAGAAUGGGAAUAGGGACACAGGCCAAGGCUUGCCAUUUUGGCUGAAGUAACAGCAGGACGGUUGUCAACCCCGCAUCGGCUUCAAUCCUCUUCUCCCUCACCUCUCCUCCCACAGACAUAGACAGAAACACAAAGACAGAGACA